rnacentral:rRNA from 1 species
GAUGAACGCUGGCGGCGUGCCUAAUACAUGCAAGUCGAGCGAAUGGAUUAAGAGCUUGCUCUUAUGAAGUUAGCGGCGGACGGGUGAGUAACACGUGGGUAACCUGCCCAUAAGACUGGGAUAACUCCGGGAAACCGGGGCUAAUACCGGAUAGCAUUUUGAACCGCAUGGUUCGAAAUUGAAAGGCGGCUUCGGCUGUCACUUAUGGAUGGACCCGCGUCGCAUUAGCUAGUUGGUGAGGUAACGGCUCACCAAGGCAACGAUGCGUAGCCGACCUGCGAGGGUGAUCGGCCACACUGGGACUGCGACACGGCCCAGACUCCUACGGGAGGCAGCAGUAGGGAAUCUUCCGCAAUGGACGAAAGUCUGACGGAGCAACGCCGCGUGAGUGAUGAAGGCUUUCGGGUCGUAAAACUCUGUUGUUAGGGAAGAACAAGUGCUAGUUGAAUAAGCUGGCACCUUGACGGUACCUAACCAGAAAGCCACGGCUAACUACGUGCCAGCAGCCGCGGUAA